CUGGGCUACGCAGGGCCCCGGCGGCGGCCGGAGAGCUGCACCUGUCUGUGUGGCGGUAUGCGGGGAGGCCGGCCUGCGUGGCGCUGGGGCCGGGCCGGCGGCGCCUGCGCUGGGUCGCGAAUUGGGCCGCUCCCCGUGUCAGUGGUGGUGUGCGGAGCUCUCUGGGAGGGCGGUCUGCCUUCGGGCCGGCAGGGACCAGCGGUCCCGGGUGAGAGCCCAGAACGGCGGGGGCAGAGGGGAGAGCAGGCGAGGCGGCGAGGCCCGUCUGUGGGUGCCCGAGCGCGUCCUCGGUUGAGGGAAGGGGGCCGACGUGCGCAAUGGCAGCCGCGGGGGGCCGUCGCCGAGUUUGUGGGGCGGCUCCGUGCUUGGCCGGCGCCGGUGCGAAGUGCUGCAGAAAACGGGCGGUAGUGCUGCGUGUAAAAGAGCAAGAAGUGUAAUACUGUUGCUUCAGGCUGAUCUGGGGAAUGACUACUCAUCUAAAAGAGCGGAUGGGAAAAGGAUUUUGGUUCUUGUCUACAAGUUUACGUGAUGCAUGGUAGAUAUGGUAGUAGCAGACAUCUAUAACAUCAUCAGCCCCUGUUUUAAGAAUAGAAACAUAAGUAUUAGGUUGUUUACAAGUGUUCAGUUUGUGUUUGUAUAUGUAUCUGUAUGCUGACAGGAGCUCAGAUUGCUGUUUUUAAAGUAUAUUGUGUGGAUUUUUUCAUUAGCUUUUGUAAAGAGUAAUAACAUGUUUUCAUGGAUACAGAAUGGUGGUAGUUACACUGCUGCACUUAGAGUACCUUUUAUUAGUCUCAUGAAAAUUUUUCUUUCAAACAUUGCAUAGGUUCAGCUGCAUCUCUGCAGUACAGGUAAUCAGGGCCUCAUUAUUUUCUCGUGUUCAUAACUUUGGCAUAAAGUUCUUUUUCAUUUAGAACAGAUGUAUUAAAGCAGUUUCUAAUGCUCAGUGUUGGGUUUUCUUUUUAUAUUAAGAUUUUUGCCCAAGUUAUAGAGGCAUUGAAUAAAUUUGUUCUUGCAUCCCUACCACUGCCCAAUGCUUUCCCAACUGUUCCUAUAAUUGUCUGACCAGUAAUUCCUUAUGGUGGGGGCAGUGAGAAUCCCUGUUCACUACAUCUGGAGUUCAUUGUGAACUGGUCCGUGUUGCUUUUCCUUCCAGUCCUCAAUUCCUGGAAUCUCUUAAUCUGAAAGAUAAGUUAUUCAUUCAGUAGUCUUUUGCAUCCAAAAAAAACCCAGAAGGCAUUGAGUAACGUACAGGACGUUGCUGCAUGCUGAUAGUAAAUGCUAAGAAUGUUCUUUAAAAAUUGUUUUGUUGUUAGGUGUCAGUUUCCCCCUGUUAGUCUAGCAAAACCCAGUAACACUGGGAAGGGGAAUAGUGUAAGUAAGAUAAUAAUGGAAAUAAGAAGAAAAUGGUGCUAUUAGAAGGGAAAGCACUAUGGCUGUCAGUAUUUCUUAGAGAAGUAGACUUCAAACUUACUUUAUGCAAAUCUACCCCAAAUAGAAGGCAGCAGAAUAUUCUAAUGAACACAGCUGAUGAGAAAGUUAGAUGCAUAUGUUUGAUAACUGGUAAUGUAAGUGAACUUUACUAAGACUUUCCUUGAAAAUCAGGAUGCGUCAGAACUUAGUGAAUAUUGCCCAGAAUCGGUCAGAGUAUAAAAAGUAUGUUCUGCCAGAAGGUUUUUGAAGUGUCUGUGCCACGAACUAAAUAAAUGCUGUGCAGAUUCUUUCUCAACGUGUUCCAGCAUGAACUAUCCAAAAGUACACCUGUCAGAAUAAAUAUAUAUACGCGUUGUACUUGCUACCAUUAAAUCAAAGAAGGUGAUGCGAGUUCUCAGCUAACUAAUGUGAGUCUUUUUAUCCCUACACUAAUGAAUCCAUUUUGAUCGUCUGCAUUGAACAAAUAAAAUACAUUUCUUGAUGGGUAUCACACUAGCUUCUUCAUUAGGAGAGUAGGAAUCUGAUUAAGAUAUUUUGCAAUUCUGUUUAGUAAAGGGAUGCUGUUAUCUUCAAUGCUGAUGAUGUCCUUGUUCUUUCAUUCCUAUGUAUUAAAAGAUUAUACAAGUGGUUACAGCUUGUGUGAUUUAUCAGUUUUUCCUGCUUGCCUUCUCUUGUGCUCUGUUGUAGAGUAUAAAGGAAUGAUUGUGACAAGUAGAGAAACUGACUCCUUCAGUGACCAAGAAGAUAGUCUGGAAAUCAAAUUUAGGAAACAAACAGAAAACCCACUCAGAUUUCCACCAAGUCAUUUGGUCCUUGCAAACAGGCUCUUUCUGAAUGAUAUUCAGUGAUUUAAUUUGGUGAAUAAAGCAUGAGAGUAGAACGCAAGAUCUUUCCCUGCUUUGUUCAGCCACUGGGCUUCUCAGUCGCAGUUUAGAUCCCCUUGUAUAUACAUCUGGCUAUUUAAUCUGUUGUAUGAGAAGGAUAAUCAGAAUAAUUCAUAGCACCUCAAAAUCAUAUGGUGAAAAGUUUUUUGUCUAAGAGGUAACAGCUACCUCUGAGGUGGUACUUGGUGCCAGAACCUUAGUCUUUAAAUGCUGCUAGCUAAAGUUAUUGUUCAGUAGAAUAAUUAAACAACUAAAUAACAUCACUUCUCUCCCCCAGACCCCUCCUUACACUCACACUCUGCUUUGGUAAUACAUUUAGAACAUCACCACAAACAAGAAAUGCAGUUUUCUCUAGUGUUUUGUGGGUCACUGGUGAUUAAUGUUUCCAAAUCAUACUGUUUUUCAAACUAGUAAUGAACUUUUUCCUAAGCUGUGAAGUAGUUAUCUGGAGGCAGAGAAUACUUCAAAGAUCUGUUAGUGGUAUAUUCUAUACUCUUUCUUGAACUCAAAAUUUCAUUAAACAACAGUUUCUAGUGCUUUGUUUGCUGCCAUUUUUAAAUAAAGCCUACUAAUUCUAUUUUCUGUUAUUGUUAAAACCUGUGGAUUUUGAUCACUGUGGCCUUGCAUCAUAGGUUUAAUAAAUGAAUUGUCCUACCACACAAAUACUGAUUAAAAUCAUUACUAUCCAA